GAUGCCUUUAAGUGCUCAGGAUCCACAAGUCAGUCAACAAAUCUGAAGAUUAUAGCAAGGGAGGCAGAUAGUCUGCCCCGGGUAUAGGGAGAAAGUUUGCCUAGUUGUGAAGAAAAGCAUGCCUUCCCGUGUCUCCUGGUUUUGAGGGACACUGCAUGCAAACCUAGGCCGUAGGGGUAUUUCAAACAACUUUCUCUCCUGUUUGCCUACAGAGCACAGGGUGGGUGCUGGCCACAGUUCAUGGUAAGCAGCCUGAGCGGAUCCUUACCCCACCGCAGAAACAAUAAAACCCACCCCUGCUGAAGUGGUAGGAGCGCUUACCCGGUCUGUACCUCUUGUGAGACCGUGAACUCCAGAAAUCCAACCUUACCCACAAACUGCUAAUUCAGUGGAAAGAAGUCUUCAAAUCCAGGCCAGCAGUUGGCGACAGCAGCGGCCCCGGCCCAAGGCUCCCGGGAGAGGCUUGAGCAGCUGGACCCCCCUGCCCCCCACCACGGCAGUGGCAACACCAAGGGGCCACGGCUGUUACUUCACACAGGUGAGGCGCCCGCACAGGUAAGCCACCUCCCCGAGGCCAGUGGGGCGGCCCCGUUCUUUCCCCAAAGGCCGGGAACUGCAGCUGGGAAACCGCGGGCACCGCGGGGCCACUGCGGAUCUCUGCCGACUAAGGUAGUUUAUACCAGUGUCGAGACUGCUGGCCCUGGACUUCUCAGUCAGCUUUCUAGCACCCCCCUCGAACAGAAACUCUCUAAGGCCGAGAGUGCUUUUUUGUACAAUUGUUUAUACAAAUUCAACAAAGGUCAAACCGCAUCAGGGAAGGUCUAGGAAAACAACACCUUAACAACAAUGGCACUUAUGAAGGCAUAACUUUACAACUAGGAAACAGCCGUGUUAUAAGCCUUGAACGAGAACUCAACUCACUUCAAAGGAGAGAAAAAAGGAAAAGAAAGGCUAUGUUGGAUCAUUUAUUCUACUUCUUGACCCACUGUAUAAAUUAGAUCCUUGUAGAAUACAAGAGCUCAUGCUGGCGCAAAACUCUCCUGAGUGCAAAGGCUGAAGUCUGAAUUUUAAAAUUUUGAGAAAUGGGUGAAUUCUAUACAGAGGAAACUUGGCAGAGUGUCUUACUUCGACUAUAAUUAACAUAUGUCCACAUGCUUGUGUAAUUCUUGAUGACGUACAAAGCAGGCUCUCAACUUCCAGUUAAACAUGCUUUUAAUUGGAAGGUCUUCGCCUGCUCUGCCGGAUCUGGGCACGUGUGUAGAUGAUUAUUUGUGUGGAUGAAGCACAGGUUCAGUUCUCUUCUACCUUAGGAAACCAGGGAAGUUGGCAAUCUCAAAACAAUAAAAACACAGGUAUGCAUUCAAACCUUGCAUAAAUAACUUUUAAACAAUUUGUACAAAAAUAGUUCUGCAUAAUGUAAGAUGUAACAAAACCAAACAAACAAAAAAUGUCACGACUGCAGCAGAUGUGGCGUGUGGUCCGCUGAAUGUCGACACCGACCCCCGGAGCUGCAAGGAACAAGGUGUCCAAAACGAAAACACCACCACCCACGAAACUCCUAAGCUCAUGCUCCAGUAAGAGAAUUUCUUCGAAGUCUGUCCUCCUCUCCGGCAGGAAUGUCUUCUUGGUAAAGGCCGCCUUUAGAAAUGGUCCAGAAAGCGGUGCGGUUGUAAUUCGGAGAGACUGAAGGGGGAGUGUCCAGUUCACUCCUCCCCCAAACAGGAGCCAGGACGGCUUCUCCCUCAGCAAGACUAGCAGAAUGGAAUCGUGGGGUCUGUUGUUUCAAGUUCCAAAUUGAAAAUAAAAGCCCUAGUUUCUGUAAAGUUUUUUCCCCUCCCCUGCCAUGAUCCCUCCCCCUCCCCACCCCUUAUUUACAUACUUGUCCUUGGACUAACUCAGUUUCUGUAGGAGUUUUUCUUCCACUUGCCCAAACUGGACACUCACAGACAUUUCAGCUAUGAACUGCUCACAGCCUUCCUUGGUAACCUGCUUGCAGUACCUCAGGUCAAUAUGACAGAUAUUUCCACAGCGUUUGAAGAAGGACAGGCACUGGUCAGUAACCUUAUUGCAGUCUGCGGGGGGAGAGGAGACAACAUGAGGUGAAGGAAGUACAAAGGCCAGAGGCCCCUCCCGCCCCCGCCAAACCCCAGUACCGAGCAAUGAAGUAACAGGACAGAGCCCUUGAGCACUGUCCAGCCCCUGGUGCCCUUGGGAAAACUGCACUUGCUGGAAAGCUCUCAUUAAACGGGGAAUGGUUCCAUCUACCAAUUAUAAAGGUUAAUGUAUGCUUGAAAAGCGUUCAGACUUCCAAGUGAAAUCACUUCCAAGCUUACCAUUGCCUCUCUGUAUGUAUAAAAUAGGUCUCCUGUCCAUGCUGUUUAACAAAGACAGGCUCACACAAUAUGUUAGAAAUACCUUGUUUUUCCCAUCUAAUUUAUGGUCGAUAAAUACCUCCCUGUCUACGUGAUGGUGCACUUAUCUGCUUCCCCCCCGCCCCCGCACCGCUCCCCAAACUGAUCUGUAGGGAAUAAGCAAAGGGUGAGAGUGAGAACAUCUGUAUGGUCAUCUUGGGCUCCUCUUGGCCCAUACAGGCACUGGGGCUUUCAAGUGAGGCAGAGCAGGCUUGCGCACCCCUUGCUAAAUGCUUACUGGAAACCCGUGAAGACCAGGCUACUACCAAGGCUGACAACGAGCAAACCCAGAAUUCGGAGUCUUUCAUCGUGCCCUCACUUAGAGACACACUCAUCUGCCCCUGCUCUUGUGAAUUUCUACUUUGCCUUUACCACCCUUUUUUGCUUUAAAGCUGCAGCCACAGUCGAUUGGCCUCAAUGCCAGUUAGCAGCCAGCGGAGGCUCAGAGAGCGCCCCCACCCUGCAGACAGAUUUCCUUCAUCUCCGUGGUGUUCAGCCCGAGCCCUCUGUCCUCACUAGCAUCUGCACUUUCACUUCUCCAUUCAGCUGGAGAAGCGAGAACAGUUCAGUAGAUUUGAGAAAGCUUAACCUAAACUGGCUGAAGGGAAAGCAGAGAAGCAGAUUUACUCUAUAAACACCCUCAGGUUCCGGUAAUGGAAGCAGCAAUCACACGAAAUGGAGCUGAAGAAGGGGUCAGAGUCCCUCCGCAGCUGCAGAAGACUAGAGUUUCAGUCUCUGAUGGUGAGAGAGAAAGUCUCUGUUCUGGGCACCACCUGGCACAGCAGGCUGGGACACCCAGCCAAAAUCAGGUCUACGGGAACAAUUACCUGCGGACUGUUGAGAUCCCCUAGCCUCCUUCCCUUGCCAGGCCCUACGACACCGGGCAGCCUCGUCUGCACCCUCCAGUUGGGAGGUCAAGAAGAAUACUUUUGGCAGCCCUGACCAGCUCAGGAGAAAUGUCUGAAAGAUCUCACAUCUGGGUCCCCGCCCCCGCCCCU